CUGUGAGCUCGAUGAGUAGGGCGGGACACGUGGUAUCCUGUCUGAAUAUGGGGGGACCAUCCUCCAAGGCUAAAUACUCCUGACUGACCGAUAGUGAACCAGUACCGUGAGGGAAAGGCGAAAAGAACCCCGGCGAGGGGAGUGAAAAAGAACCUGAAACCGUGUACGUACAAGCAGUGGGAGCACGCUUAGGCGUGUGACUGCGUACCUUUUGUAUAAUGGGUCAGCGACUUAUAUUCUGUAGCAAGGUUAACCGAAUAGGGGAGCCGAAGGGAAACCGAGUCUUAACUGGGCGUUAAGUUGCAGGGUAUAGACCCGAAACCCGGUGAUCUAGCCAUGGGCAGGUUGAAGGUUGGGUAACACUAACUGGAGGACCGAACCGACUAAUGUUGAAAAAUUAGCGGAUGACUUGUGGCUGGGGGUGAAAGGCCAAUCAAACCGGGAGAUAGCUGGUUCUCCCCGAAAGCUAUUUAGGUAGCGCCUCGUGAAUUCAUCUCCGGGGGUAGAGCACUGUUUCGGCAAGGGGGUCAUCCCGACUUACCAACCCGAUGCAAACUGCGAAUACCGGAGAAUGUUAUCACGGGAGACACACGGCGGGUGCUAACGUCCGUCGUGAAGAGGGAAACAACCCAGACCGCCAGCUAAGGUCCCAAAGUCAUGGUUAAGUGGGAAACGAUGUGGGAAGGCCCAGACAGCCAGGAUGUUGGCUUAGAAGCAGCCAUCAUUUAAAGAAAGCGUAAUAGCUCACUGGUCGAGUCGGCCUGCGCGGAAGAUGUAACGGGGCUAAACCAUGCACCGAAGCUGCGGCAGCGACGCUUAUGCGUUGUUGGGUAGGGGAGCGUUCUGUAAGCCUGUGAAGGUGUACUGUGAGGUAUGCUGGAGGUAUCAGAAGUGCGAAUGCUGACAUAAGUAACGAUAAAGCGGGUGAAAAGCCCGCUCGCCGGAAGACCAAGGGUUCCUGUCCAACGUUAAUCGGGGCAGGGUGAGUCGACCCCUAAGGCGAGGCCGAAAGGCGUAGUCGAUGGGAAACAGGUUAAUAUUCCUGUACUUGGUGUUACUGCGAAGGGGGGACGGAGAAGGCUAUGUUGGCCGGGCGACGGUUGUCCCGGUUUAAGCGUGUAGGCUGGUUUUCCAGGCAAAUCCGGAAAAUCAAGGCUGAGGCGUGAUGACGAGGCACUACGGUGCUGAAGCAACAAAUGCCCUGCUUCCAGGAAAAGCCUCUAAGCAUCAGGUAACAUCAAAUCGUACCCCAAACCGACACAGGUGGUCAGGUAGAGAAUACCAAGGCGCUUGAGAGAACUCGGGUGAAGGAACUAGGCAAAAUGGUGCCGUAACUUCGGGAGAAGGCACGCUGAUAUGUAGGUGAAGUCCCUCGCGGAUGGAGCUGAAAUCAGUCGAAGAUACCAGCUGGCUGCAACUGUUUAUUAAAAACACAGCACUGUGCAAACACGAAAGUGGACGUAUACGGUGUGACGCCUGCCCGGUGCCGGAAGGUUAAUUGAUGGGGUCAGCGCAAGCGAAGCUCUUGAUCGAAGCCCCGGUAAACGGCGGCCGUAACUAUAACGGUCCUAAGGUAGCGAAAUUCCUUGUCGGGUAAGUUCCGACCUGCACGAAUGGCGUAAUGAUGGCCAGGCUGUCUCCACCCGAGACUCAGUGAAAUUGAACUCGCUGUGAAGAUGCAGUGUACCCGCGGCAAGACGGAAAGACCCCGUGAACCUUUACUAUAGCUUGACACUGAACAUUGAGCCUUGAUGUGUAGGAUAGGUGGGAGGCUUUGAAGUGUGGACGCCAGUCUGCAUGGAGCCGACCUUGAAAUACCACCCUUUAAUGUUUGAUGUUCUAACGUGGACCCGUAAUCCGGGUUGCGGACAGUGUCUGGUGGGUAGUUUGACUGGGGCGGUCUCCUCCUAAAGAGUAACGGAGGAGCACGAAGGUUGGCUAAUCCUGGUCGGACAUCAGGAGGUUAGUGCAAUGGCAUAAGCCAGCUUGACUGCGAGCGUGACGGCGCGAGCAGGUGCGAAAGCAGGUCAUAGUGAUCCGGUGGUUCUGAAUGGAAGGGCCAUCGCUCAACGGAUAAAAGGUACUCCGGGGAUAACAGGCUGAUACCGCCCAAGAGUUCAUAUCGACGGCGGUGUUUGGCACCUCGAUGUCGGCUCAUCACAUCCUGGGGCUGAAGUAGGUCCCAAGGGUAUGGCUGUUCGCCAUUUAAAGUGGUACGCGAGCUGGGUUUAGAACGUCGUGAGACAGUUCGGUCCCUAUCUGCCGUGGGCGCUGGAGAACUGAGGGGGGCUGCUCCUAGUACGAGAGGACCGGAGUGGACGCAUCACUGGUGUUCGGGUUGUCAUGCCAAUGGCACUGCCCGGUAGCUAAAUGCGGAAGAGAUAAGUGCUGAAAGCAUCUAAGCACGAAACUUGCCCCGAGAUGAGUUCUCCCUGAC
rnacentral:rRNA from 1 species